rnacentral:rRNA from 1 species
AAUGACUCUCGGCAACGGAUAUCUCAACUCUCGCAUCGAUGAAGAACGUAGAAAAAUGCGGUACUUGGUGUGAAUUGCAGAAUCCCAUGAACCAUCGAGUGUUUGAACACAAGUUGCGCCCCAAGCCAUUAGGCCGAGGGCACGCCUGCCUGGG